CAAAACCAAACAAGAGGAAGAGUAAGUCAAUGAUAUUUUUACAGAGAAGCCAUAUUGGUGAGAGUGGCCAAAAGAAGAGUGACUGAACAUGGUCCUUGAUGGGAUGAGUCGAUAUUUAGAUUCAUACGGGAACUCCCGUUACAGAGUUAGGGUAUGAUGGUACCUGAAGGUGGUCUAUUUUUUAGGCAAAUAAGGUGGUAACGCGGAAUUUUUCGUCCUUUUU
rnacentral:ncRNA from 1 species